UCGGAAUGUAGCGUAGCUUGGUAGCGUAUGUGUUUUGGGAACUCAAGGUCGCAGGUUCAAAUCCUGUCAUUCCGAA
rnacentral:tRNA from 1 species